AACGAACGCUGGCGGCAUGCCUAACACAUGCAAGUCGAACGAGACCUUCGGGUCUAGUGGCGCACGGGUGCGUAACGCGUCGGAACCUGCCCUUAGGUUUGACAUAACUCCCCGACAGGGGUGCUAAUACCGGAUAAUGUCUUCGGACCAAAGAUUUAUCGCCUUUGGUUGGUCCCGCGUUGGAUUCGCUCGUUGGUACGGUAAAAGCCUACCAAGGCGAGGAUCCAUAGCUGGGCUGAGAGGAAGAUCAGCGACACUUGGACUGAGACACGGCCCAGACUCCUACGGGAGGCAGCAGUGGGGAAUAGUGGACAAUGGGCGAAAGCCUGAUCGAGCAAUGCCGCGUGAGUGAUGAAGGCCUGAGGGUUGUAAAGCUCUAGUACCCGGGAUGAUAAUGACAGUACCGGGAGAAUAAGCCCCGGCUAACUCCGUG
rnacentral:rRNA from 1 species